rnacentral:rRNA from 1 species
GACGAACGCUGGCGGCGUGCUUAACACAUGCAAGUCGAGCGGUAAGGCCCUUUCGGGGGUACACGAGCGGCGAACGGGUGAGUAACACGUGGGUGACCUGCCCUCAGCUCUGGGAUAAGCCUGGGAAACCGGGUCUAAUACCGGAUAUGACUCCAUGACGCAUGUUGUGGGGUGGAAAGCCUUGUGCGGCUGAGGAUGGGCCCGCGGCCUAUCAGCUUGUUGGUGGGGNGAUGGCCUACCAAGGCGACGACGGGUAGCCGGCCUGAGAGGGCGACCGGCCACACUGGGACUGAGACACGGCCCAGACUCCUACGGGAGGCAGCAGUGGGGAAUUUUGGACAAUGGGCGCAAGCCUGAUCCAGCCAUGCCGCGUGCGGGAAGAAGGCCU